AGAGUUUGAUCAUGGCUCAGAUUGAACGCUGGCGGCAGGCCUAACACAUGCAAGUCGAGCGGUAACAUUUCUAGCUUGCUAGAAGAUGACGAGCGGCGGACGGGUGAGUAAUGCUUGGGAAUAUGCCUUAGGGUGGGGGACAACAGUUGGAAACGACUGCUAAUACCGCAUGACGUCUACGGACCAAAGGGGGCUUCGGCUCUCGCCCUUAGAUUAGCCCAAGUGGGAUUAGCUAGUUGGUGAGGUAAAGGCUCACCAAGGCGACGAUCCCUAGCUGGUUUGAGAGGAUGAUCAGCCACACUGGAACUGAGACACGGUCCAGACUCCUACGGGAGGCAGCAGUGGGGAAUAUUGCACAAUGGGCGCAAGCCUGAUGCAGCCAUGCCGCGUGUGUGAAGAAGGCCUUAGGGUUGUAAAGCACUUUCAGUAAGGAGGAAAGGUUAGUAGUUAAUACCUGCUAGCUGUGACGUUACUUACAGAAGAAGCACCGGCUAACUCCGUGCCAGCAGCCGCGGUAAUACGGAGGGUGCGAGCGUUAAUCGGAAUUACUGGGCGUAAAGCGUACGCAGGCGGUUUGUUAAGCGAGAUGUGAAAGCCCCGGGCUCAACCUGGGAACUGCAUUUCGAACUGGCAAACUAGAGUAUGAUAGAGGGUGGUAGAAUUUCAGGUGUAGCGGUGAAAUGCGUAGAGAUCUGAAGGAAUACCGAUGGCGAAGGCAGCCACCUGGGUCGAUACUGACGCUCAUGUACGAAAGCGUGGGGAGCAAACGGGAUUAGAUACCCCGGUAGUCCACGCCGUAAACGAUGUCUACUAGGAGCUGGG
rnacentral:rRNA from 1 species